AGACUAACAGCCUCACCUGUUGUUCCUGUUGAUCAGACACACAGUGUCAACCAAUGAACCAAAGAUGCAUGAGGGAGGGAAGGACAGCUGUGAAAACAACAGCUGGAAAAUGAGUCGGAAGCACAGUAGCAUUUGGAUGCAUUUUAAUAAUGUAGACAAUGUUAGAGCACAGUGUAGAAUUUGCCAAAACAAAAUCUCAUAUAAAGUCGGUUCUACGCACAACCUACACCGGCAUAUGCGAACUGUGCACCCAACUGUGAAGCUAGCUGUAGCGGAGCUUCAAGAAACUUGCGGGCCUGCUAGUGAUAGUGGUGGAGCCAGCUCAAGUAGGCCUUCUCCGCGACCCACAGCAACGCAGUCUUCUAUGGACCAGUUUAUGCCAAAGUCUAUGUCUGUAGCAAAAGAAGGCCAAAUUGAUAUUGCAUUUGCUAAAAUGAUUGCCACCGAUUUCCAGCCAUUUUCGGUCGUGGAUGACAGAGGUUUUAGAAAUUAUAGCAAUAGUCUAAAUCCAAUGUACACAAUUACAAGCAGGAAAACCCUUUCAAAAUCACUUAUUCCACAACUGUAUGAGAGCACACAGGCUUCAGUGUGGGAAAGAGUCCAAAAAGCUACUGCAGUUUGACUUACCACUGACUGCUGGACAUCAAGGGUAACCACUUCUUACAUGUCGGUUACAUGUCACUUCAUUGAUGAUUUUCGAUGUCUAGCUGUCUUCUGGACUGCUUUGAGUUCAGCGACAGACACACUUCAGAGAACUUGGCAGAGGAACUGUUGAGAGCGGCCAGAGAAUGGCACGUAGAUGGAAAAGUGGUCUUUUGUGUUAGCGACAAUGCAGCUAACAUAACCAAAGCCAUAAAAAUGUUUAAAUGGACCCAUCAUCCAUGUCUUGCCCACACAAUCAACCUGAUUGUAAGAGAUGCUCUGAAGGUGAUGAUGCCCACUGUGGACAAAGUGAAAACAGCUGUGGAAUACUUCUACAGGAGCACAGUAGGUGCUGAAAAACUAAAGUCUACACAACACCAGAUGGGGGAUGCCUGAGCUGAGGCCUAAACAAGACUGCACUACAAGGUGGAAUUCAACAUUUUAUAUGUUAAACGGGUUCUGACCCAAGAGGAAUGGGAGGUGGUGGAGGAUGUGUGCAGAGUCCUGUAACACUUUGAGCAGGUCACUGUGGAGAUCAGUGGAGAGAGCUAUGUGACAGCCUCAAAAAUGAUACUCCUGUGUAAGGGUCUGCAGCGAAUCACAGCCAGCCGCCAGAGAGAAGCAAAUGUAACCACAGGACAUGUGACAGAGUUGAUAAACACCCUAUGUUCAUCGAUGGACAGAAAUUCCACAGAAUGGAAUAUAGUCACGUGCUAUCAGAAACCGUUGCACUUGACCCCAGGUUUAAGAAGUUAGCUUUCAGUGAUGCCAGAGCGAUUGAUGAGGCUCUUCAAAGAAUAACCUCAGCAGCAGGGAGGGACAGCCCCAGCAGUCAGCUGGCUCAGGCAACAGGAAGAAGAGGGAUCAGACGGAGCAGAAGCACCAGCAGUAGUGCCACAUACGUCUGCUGUUUGGAUGCUGUUUGAUGAGAGAGCAACUGGGGAUGCAGCACAAAGGAAUUCCUCAGCAGAUGCCAUAAUGGAGGUCUGAUCCUAUUUGGAGGAGCCCCUCCUCCAAAGAUCUGCAGAUCCUCUGAGCUGGUGGAAGAGCAAGGCCUCUGUCUACCCACAGCUUACUAAAGUCAUGACAGGGAGACUCUGCAUAGUGGCUACAUCCGUUACCUCUGAGAGGGUCUUCUCGAAAGCGGGACAAAUACUUACUGAGAGAAGAAACUGCAUCAGCCCCUCGAAAGUGAGGCAGCUGCAUUUCUGAAUGCAAAUCUCUCAUAAAAGCAAAAUAUGGUCAGCAUUGCUGUGUGCUGCUGGUUAUAACAUGGCAAUAAAGAAGAGAGAGAAAAGAGGGAC
rnacentral:lncRNA from 1 species